rnacentral:rRNA from 1 species
GAUGAACGCUGGCGGCGUGCCUAAUACAUGCAAGUCGAGCGAACAGACGAGGAGCUUGCUCCUCUGACGUUAGCGGCGGACGGGUGAGUAACACGUGGAUAACCUACCUAUAAGACUGGGAUAACUUCGGGAAACCGGAGCUAAUACCGGAUAAUAUAUUGAACCGCAUGGUUCAAUAGUGAAAGACGGUUUUGCUGUCACUUAUAGAUGGAUCCGCGCCGCAUUAGCUAGUUGGUAAGGUAACGGCUUACCAAGGCGACGAUGCGUAGCCGACCUGAGAGGGUGAUCGGCCACACUGGAGCUGAGACACGGUCCAGACUCCUACGGGAGGCAGCAGUAGGGAAUCUUCCGCAAUGGGCGAAAGCCUGACGGAGCAACGCCGCGUGAGUGAUGAAGGUCUUCGGAGCGUAAAACUCUGUUAUUAGGGAAGAACAAAUGUGUAAGUAACUAUGCACGUCUUGACGGUACCUAAUCAGAAAGCCACGGCUAACUACGUG